rnacentral:tRNA from 1 species
AUAAACAUAUUAGUGCUUUUUAAAAAGUUAGAAGCUUUUUUUUUUGAUAUUUCUUU